CGACCCCAGGUCAGGUGGGACUACCCGCUGAGUUUAAGCAUAUCAAU
rnacentral:rRNA from 1 species